rnacentral:rRNA from 1 species
UACGUAGGGGGCAAGCGUUGUCCGGAUUUAUUGGGCGUAAAGAGCGUGUAGGCGGUUCGGUAGGUCCGUUGUGAAAACUCGAGCUCAACCUCGAGACGCCGAUGGAAACCCUCGAACUAGAGUCCGGAAGAAGAGAGUGGAAUUCCUGGUGUAGCGGUGGAAAUGCGCAGAUAUCAGGAAGAACACCCGUGGCUAAGGCGGCUCUCUAGUACGGUACUGACGCUGAGACGCGAAAGCGUGGGGAGCGAACAGG